rnacentral:rRNA from 1 species
AUUGAACGCUGGCGGCAGGCCUAACACAUGCAAGUCGAGCGAGCGGCGGACGGGUGAGUAAUGUCUGGGAAACUGUCCGAUGUAGGGGGAUAACUACUGGAAACGGUAGCUAAUACCGCAUACGAUCAGAUGUGCCCAGAUGGGAUUAGCUAGGAGGUGGGGUAAUGGCUCUCCUAGGCGACGAUCCCUAGCUGGUCUGAGAGGAUGACCAGCCACACUGGAACUGAGACACGGUCCAGACUCCUACGGGAGGCAGCAGUGGGGAAUAUUGCACAAGGGGCGCAAGCCUGAUGCAGCCAUGCCGCGUGUGUGAAGAAGGCCUUCGGGUUGUAAAGCACUUUCAGCGGGGAGGCGUUACCCGCAGAAGAAGCACCGGCUAACUCCGUGCCAGCAGCCGCGGUAAUAC